GCGGGCCCAACACAUUGCAAGUUCGAGCGGUAGCACAGAGAGCUUGCUCUCGGGUGACGAGCGGCGGACGGGUGAGUAAUGUCUGGGAAACUGCCUGAUGGAGGGGGAUAACUACUGGAAACGGUAGCUAAUACCGCAUAACGUCGCAAGACCAAAGUGGGGGACCUUCCGGCCUCAUGCCAUCAGAUGUGCCCAGAUGGGAUUAGCUAGUAGGUGGGGUAACGGCUCACCUAGGCGACGAUCCCUAGCUGGUCUGAGAGGAUGACCAGCCACACUGGAACUGAGACACGGUCCAUACUCCUACGGGAGGCAGCAGUGGGGAAUAUUGCACAAUGGGCGCAAGCCUGAUGCAGCCAUGCCGCUUGUGUGAAUAAGGC
rnacentral:rRNA from 1 species